rnacentral:rRNA from 1 species
UACGGGGGGGGCAAGCGUUGUUCGGAAUUACUGGGCGUAAAGGGCGCGUAGGCGGUUGGAUAAGUCAGCUGUGAAAACCACGGGCUUAACUCGUGGCCUGCAGUUGAGACUGUCUGGCUUGAGUGUGGGAGAGGAGAGUGGAAUUCCUGGUGUAGCGGUGAAAUGCGUAGAUAUCAGGAAGAACACCCGUGGCGAAAGCGGCUCUCUGGAACGGUACUGACGCUGAGACGCGAAAGCGUGGGGAGCGAACAGG